rnacentral:lncRNA from 1 species
UACGUGGGGCUGCCUCUGAAGAGUGCUUGGAAACUUCAGCUGGUCCAUAGACCUGCAGCCGGGUUGCUCACUGGGGCUGGCUACAGGGAGUGGACAAUCCCACUGCUGAAGCAACUCCACUGGCUGCCAGUCUAUUUCUGGGCACAAUUCAAAGUGCUGGUUAAGACCUUUAAAGCUCUAGAUGGUUCCGGUCCAAGCUAUUUGGCUGACUGCAUCCCUUUGUACAAACCUGUUCAGGCCCUGAGAUCUUCAGGAGAGGCCCUUCUCUUGGUUCCACUUCCAUCUCAAGCUCAGUUGUUGAAACUUGAUACCUCUAGUCGUCGUGGUGCUAUAGCGGAGGGUAUCACUGCCACUUCUCCGCCAUCGGGGGAGGAGGCCUUUGUGAGAGGGGAUAGUGUUAUGAUUGAGCCUCAUGGCUCUGUUACUGACAGACGUGGGCGUAAGACUCCUCGAGAGUCAGAUACUCUCGAGGAGCGAGAGAGAAAAAGACUGCGAGACAUAUUUGCAGCACCAUCUGACGAGGAGUCUUUCGAAGGGUUUACGGAGAGAAUGGAGGAGGGGCUGGUUAGCUCAGAGGAGGAUGAGAUGGAUUGGACUCGGGUAAGGGAGGAAGUGGGUGCCACUGGCCAUGAUGGGACAGAAGAUGAAUGGGGACCUUCAGGAUUAGACCCAUGGUUUAGCUGGAGGGAUGGGACGGGAUCCACAGCUGGAGAUGCUGUUGGGCGUAGUCAGAGGUGUUCCAGCUCUGACGAGGAAAGUGAUGAGGAAACGCCCGGGUUAAGGAGGACAGCUGACAGUGAUGAGGAAACGCCCGGGUUAAGGAGGACAGCUGACAGUGAUGAAGAAACGCCCGGGUUAAGGAGGACAGCUGACAGUGAUGAGGAAACGCCCGGGUUAAGGAGGACAGCUGACAGUGAUGAAGAUUUGUACUGGCAUAAAAUGGGGCUUGAGAGCAAUUGCAAAUUGCGUUGGGCAAGGUAAUCUGGGCAAACGCUUGGGAUCCGUGUGUGUGUGGGACGCUUCCCUGAAGACUUGUGUGCUUUCCUGUGCUGUGACGUAAGUUGAUUGGAAUCCAGGGUCAGACGGCGGGAGGGAUUGUGUGGGCAUUUGUUUGUGCAAACCUGUGCUUACUCUUAUUAGCUUGACCUUCCGUCGUCUUCUUGACGGACGCCAUCUCCUGCUUUGAGAACUCGGACUGAACUGACCACGGCUUGUCUUCCCCCCUUCUUGGACUUGGAAAAACUACAAACGUCUGCUUCUGGCUUUGAUCUACGGAACGGAACUGGUCUACUCA